UUAAGCGACUAAGCGUACACGGUGGAUGCCCUGGCAGUCAGAGGCGAUGAAGGACGUGCUAAUCUGCGAUAAGCGUCGGUAAGGUGAUAUGAACCGUUAUAACCGGCGAUUUCCGAAUGGGGAAACCCAGUGUGUUUCGACACACUAUCAUUAACUGAAUCCAUAGGUUAAUGAGGCGAACCGGGGGAACUGAAACAUCUAAGUACCCCGAGGAAAAGAAAUCAACCGAGAUUCCCCCAGUAGCGGCGAGCGAACGGGGAGGAGCCCAGAGCCUGAAUCAGUGUGUGUGUUAGUGGAAGCGUCUGGAAAGGCGCGCGAUACAGGGUGACAGCCCCGUACACAAAAAUGCACAUGCUGUGAGCUCGAUGAGUAGGGCGGGACACGUGGUAUCCUGUCUGAAUAUGGGGGGACCAUCCUCCAAGGCUAAAUACUCCUGACUGACCGAUAGUGAACCAGUACCGUGAGGGAAAGGCGAAAAGAACCCCGGCGAGGGGAGUGAAAAAGAACCUGAAACCGUGUACGUACAAGCAGUGGGAGCCUCUUUUAUGGGGUGACUGCGUACCUUUUGUAUAAUGGGUCAGCGACUUAUAUUCUGUAGCAAGGUUAACCGAAUAGGGGAGCCGAAGGGAAACCGAGUCUUAACUGGGCGUUAAGUUGCAGGGUAUAGACCCGAAACCCGGUGAUCUAGCCAUGGGCAGGUUGAAGGUUGGGUAACACUAACUGGAGGACCGAACCGACUAAUGUUGAAAAAUUAGCGGAUGACUUGUGGCUGGGGGUGAAAGGCCAAUCAAACCGGGAGAUAGCUGGUUCUCCCCGAAAGCUAUUUAGGUAGCGCCUCGUGAAUUCAUCUCCGGGGGUAGAGCACUGUUUCGGCAAGGGGGUCAUCCCGACUUACCAACCCGAUGCAAACUGCGAAUACCGGAGAAUGUUAUCACGGGAGACACACGGCGGGUGCUAACGUCCGUCGUGAAGAGGGAAACAACCCAGACCGCCAGCUAAGGUCCCAAAGUCAUGGUUAAGUGGGAAACGAUGUGGGAAGGCCCAGACAGCCAGGAUGUUGGCUUAGAAGCAGCCAUCAUUUAAGAAAGCGUAAUAGCUCACUGGUCGAGUCGGCCUGCGCGGAAGAUGUAACGGGGCUAAACCAUGCACCGAAGCUGCGGCAGCGACGCUUAUGCGUUGUUGGGUAGGGGAGCGUUCUGUAAGCCUGUGAAGGUGUGCUGUGAGGCAUGCUGGAGGUAUCAGAAGUGCGAAUGCUGACAUAAGUAACGAUAAAGCGGGUGAAAAGCCCGCUCGCCGGAAGACCAAGGGUUCCUGUCCAACGUUAAUCGGGGCAGGGUGAGUCGACCCCUAAGGCGAGGCCGAAAGGCGUAGUCGAUGGGAAACAGGUUAAUAUUCCUGUACUUGGUGUUACUGCGAAGGGGGGACGGAGAAGGCUAUGUUGGCCGGGCGACGGUUGUCCCGGUUUAAGCGUGUAGGCUGGUUUUCCAGGCAAAUCCGGAAAAUCAAGGCUGAGGCGUGAUGACGAGGCACUACGGUGCUGAAGCAACAAAUGCCCUGCUUCCAGGAAAAGCCUCUAAGCAUCAGGUAACAUCAAAUCGUACCCCAAACCGACACAGGUGGUCAGGUAGAGAAUACCAAGGCGCUUGAGAGAACUCGGGUGAAGGAACUAGGCAAAAUGGUGCCGUAACUUCGGGAGAAGGCACGCUGAUAUGUAGGUGAAGCGACUUGCUCGUGGAGCUGAAAUCAGUCGAAGAUACCAGCUGGCUGCAACUGUUUAUUAAAAACACAGCACUGUGCAAACACGAAAGUGGACGUAUACGGUGUGACGCCUGCCCGGUGCCGGAAGGUUAAUUGAUGGGGUCAGCGCAAGCGAAGCUCUUGAUCGAAGCCCCGGUAAACGGCGGCCGUAACUAUAACGGUCCUAAGGUAGCGAAAUUCCUUGUCGGGUAAGUUCCGACCUGCACGAAUGGCGUAAUGAUGGCCAGGCUGUCUCCACCCGAGACUCAGUGAAAUUGAACUCGCUGUGAAGAUGCAGUGUACCCGCGGCAAGACGGAAAGACCCCGUGAACCUUUACUAUAGCUUGACACUGAACAUUGAGCCUUGAUGUGUAGGAUAGGUGGGAGGCUUUGAAGUGUGGACGCCAGUCUGCAUGGAGCCGACCUUGAAAUACCACCCUUUAAUGUUUGAUGUUCUAACGUUGACCCGUAAUCCGGGUUGCGGACAGUGUCUGGUGGGUAGUUUGACUGGGGCGGUCUCCUCCUAAAGAGUAACGGAGGAGCACGAAGGUUGGCUAAUCCUGGUCGGACAUCAGGAGGUUAGUGCAAUGGCAUAAGCCAGCUUGACUGCGAGCGUGACGGCGCGAGCAGGUGCGAAAGCAGGUCAUAGUGAUCCGGUGGUUCUGAAUGGAAGGGCCAUCGCUCAACGGAUAAAAGGUACUCCGGGGAUAACAGGCUGAUACCGCCCAAGAGUUCAUAUCGACGGCGGUGUUUGGCACCUCGAUGUCGGCUCAUCACAUCCUGGGGCUGAAGUAGGUCCCAAGGGUAUGGCUGUUCGCCAUUUAAAGUGGUACGCGAGCUGGGUUUAGAACGUCGUGAGACAGUUCGGUCCCUAUCUGCCGUGGGCGCUGGAGAACUGAGGGGGGCUGCUCCUAGUACGAGAGGACCGGAGUGGACGCAUCACUGGUGUUCGGGUUGUCAUGCCAAUGGCACUGCCCGGUAGCUAAAUGCGGAAGAGAUAAGUGCUGAAAGCAUCUAAGCACGAAACUUGCCCCGAGAUGAGUUCUCCCUGACUCCUUGAGAGUCCUGAAGGAACGUUGAAGACGACGACGUUGAUAGGCCGGGUGUGUAAGCGCAGCGAUGCGUUGAGCUAACCGGUACUAAUGAACCGUGAGGCUUAACCUU
rnacentral:rRNA from 1 species